rnacentral:misc_RNA from 1 species
GCCACGCCCGAAGUCGUUACCCUAACCGCAAGGAGGGGGAUGCCGAAGGCAGGGCUAGUGACUGGGGUGAAGUCGUAACAAGGUAGCCGUACCGGAAGGUGUGGCUGGAUCACCUCCUUUUAGGGAGACCUUUUGCCAGCAGCAACCCAAAAUAAAACGCUGUCUGUGCGAACAAUCCCAAGGUCGUGCCAGAAAAGAGUAAGCUUUCCAACUAACGAAGGGUUCGAGUUCUAACCAGAACUUAAAAAAGCACCUUGAAAACUGCAUAGAAAAUAGAUAGAGAAAUAUCAGAAAAUCUGAUAACCAGGUGAAAAAUCCAGGUCAAGCUACAAAGAGCUAACGGUGGAUACCUAGGCACACAGAGG